CGCAAUCUCGGCUCACUGCAAGCUCCGCCUUCCGGGUUCAAGCAAUUCUCCUGCCUCAGCCUCCUGGGUGGCUGGGACUACAGGCGCCCGCCACGACGCCCAGCUGUUUUGUAUUUUUAGUAGAGACGGGGUUUCACCAUGUUGGCCAGGACGGUCUGGAUCUGCAUGCGGGCCACACAGAAGCCCGCCGCCGAGGGGUUUCGGAGGUGGAUACUCUCGUCAGCCGGUUGCUACCGUAGGCGAAGUACAGAAAAAUGUCCUCAUCCGGGCCCGGGACGUCCCUGCAGCCCAAGUUCGCCAUGUCCCACUGCUGCCUGCACGGGAGCCUGGAGCAGAGCUGUGAGGAGCCGCCAGAGAGCGCAGCGCGGCGGCCCAGGACCCCGGCCCAGUGACUGCCUCGCCGCCGCCUCCAGGAAGUUGCACUUUUACCUCAUCCCUCAACAGUUCAGAUCCUCUCACCAGGGGCAACCCCUAUUUUUGGAUUCUUGUGCUAGGAUAUGUUAUCAAAUUUUUUUAAAAAGGUCAGACC
rnacentral:lncRNA from 1 species